GGGCCAUUAGCUCAGUUGGUAGAGCAUCUGACUCUUAAUCAGAGGGUCGAAGGUUCGAACCCUUCAUGGCCCACCA
rnacentral:tRNA from 1 species